UAAAGGCGAACGGGGAAUCAGCGCUCUGGACGUCAGCUGCAUUUGAUUAUUUUAAACAGAACAAGAUGGCGGAGGAGAGCGGGUUGAGGAAUCGGAAUCAUUCACAACAAAAUUGCAAAAACCUCGUUUUUGAAGAAGAUUGGAGCGGAGGUGGAGUGGAAGAGCUGCCCAUGCCCGACUCAGAGACGGCGCCCCCCGGUGGCGUGGAGGUGGAGGACGAGCCGUGGGACGUGGCGGCCCGGCCCAUCCAGAUCGUGCUGGCGGACGAGGACGACCACAACUUUGAGCUGGACGAGCACGCGCUGGAGCAGAUCCUCAUGCAGGAGCACGUGCGCGACCUCAACGUGGUGGUGGUGUCCGUCGCCGGGGCCUUCCGCAAGGGCAAGUCCUUCCUGCUGGACUUCAUGCUGCGCUACAUGUACAACAAGACAUCCGAAUGCUGGCUGGGGGGUAGUGAAGACCCCCUGACUGGCUUCACCUGGAGGGGGGGGUGCGAGAGGGAGACGACGGGGAUCCAGGCGUGGAGCGAGGUGUUUGUGGUGGACAAGCCCGACGGCAGCAAGGUCGCCGUUCUCCUAAUCGACACUCAGGGAGCCUUUGAUAGUCAGUCAACCAUCAAAGACUGCGCCACCGUGUUCGCCCUGAGCACCAUGACCAGCUCCGUACAGGUCUAUAACUUGUCCCAGAAUAUACAGGAGGAUGACCUUCAACAUCUUCAGCUCUUCACGGAGUACGGACGGCUCGCCAUGGAGGAGAUAUAUCUGAAGCCCUUUCAGACCCUAAUGUUUUUAAUAAGAGACUGGAGCUACCCGUACGAGCAUAAUUAUGGAUUGGACGGGGGGAGGCGGUUCCUGGAGAAGAGAUUGCAGGUGAAGCAGAACCAGCACGAGGAGCUUCAGAACGUCCGGAAGCACAUCCACUCCUGCUUCUCCAACAUCGGCUGCUUCCUGCUUCCGCACCCCGGCCUCCGAGUCGCCACCAACCCCAGCUUCGACGGCAGGUUAAAAGAUAUUGACGACGAGUUUAAGAAGGAGCUGAAGCACCUCGUGCCGUUGCUGUUGUCCCCGGAGAAUUUGGUGGAGAAAGAAAUCGGCGGAUCCAAAGUCACAUGCAGAGAUCUUGUGGAGUAUUUUAAAGCCUACAUCAAAAUCUAUCAAGGUGAAGAAUUGCCUCAUCCGAAAUCCAUGUUGCAGGCGACCGCGGAAGCGAACAACCUGGCCGCCGUCGCGGGAGCUAAAGACGCGUACAAUAAGAACAUGGAGCAGGUGUGCGGCGGGGACAAGCCGUACAUCGCCCCGGCGGACCUGGAGCGGAGCCACGAGGAGCUGAAGGAGUGCUCGGUGCGGCAGUUCCGCGCGGUGAAGAAGAUGGGCGGCGAGGAGUUCUGCCGGCGCUACCAGGAGCAGCUGGAGGGCGAGCUGGACGAGGCCUACGCCAACUUCAUCAAGCACAACGACAGCAAGAACAUCUUCUACGCCGCCCGCACGCCCGCCACCCUCUUCGCCGUCAUGUUCGCCAUGUACAUCGUCUCCGGGGUGACGGGCUUUGUGGGACUGAACACUGUGGCCGGCCUCUGCAACCUGGUCAUGGGCGUGGCCCUGCUCUCGCUCUGCCUCUGGGCCUACGUCAAGUACUCGGGCGAGUUCCGAGACCUGGGCACCGUCAUUGACAACGUGGCCGAGACCCUGUGGGAGCAGGUGUUUACCAAACUCUUUGAGCUGGUGAGGAGUCGAAUCUCCUGGCGCUCCUUCUUACCGGCACAGAGAAAGAGACUGUCCUCAAACAACAAUAUCAAGAAGAAAAAAUAGCUACUUCUACUUUUUUUUUUUUUUUUCUGGUCUCAAUUUUAUUUUUGUGCGAUUAUUUUUCCAUUUUUAUUUAAUUUAAUUUUUAGUAGUACAUGGUCGAUAACCAUGCUGGCCUAGAUUUAAACUGAAAUUGUUUUACCUGGGUUACACACUACAGGUGUUGAAGCCUUUGAGCGAUCACUAUAUGGAGGAUAACAUUAGGCAGAGUGUGGCAAACUCCAUCAAGGCCAGUCUGACCGAGCAGGUGACGCAGCACGCCAAGUUAAAGACAAACUGACCGCUCUCCCUUCUAGAGAGAGAGAGAGAGAGAGUGCGAGAGAGCGCGCCAGCUCGUAUUUUAGGCCCACGAGCUGCGCCAACCAAAGUUUACACACCCUCUGUUUUAGCUUCACCGAAUUCCGCCUCACCGCAUUGGAUGAUGCCCCCCCCUCCCCCUCACUCACUCGCAUGCAUUGCAAGCGUGUUCCCAAGUCGCAUCUCCCAGAAUCAGGACCUUUGCUGUGGCGAAGCGGUGUGUUUUGUAGAUUUUUUUCCGCCCCUCCUUCUGUUUUUGAAAAUGUGUGUUCCUAAUUAAGGGUUGCUGUCGUAGGUUUUUUUUUUUUUUUCCCCCUCUGUCAUUUUCUACCAUUUUCUUUGUUUUAAAUUACACCACUGCAUUGAUUUUUAUUUCAGUGCUAUUUCAGGGAAAAGGAGACUUUGUUGCUGCUUGGUUUCGACCUAGCCUGUCUGUCUCCGGUCUUACUGCACCGAAGUGAAUCUCUCUCCCAGUAUCCCAUUUUAUACCCACCCGCUCGUGUGAGCAAAUGGUUCCGUCACCGUAGUAACGCACAUGGCAACAACCGACUGAAGACACAGUCCAGACGCAGCGGUGCUUCCCGUUAGCUCUGGACGAAUAAAGCACGAUAAAACCGGCGUACAGCGCAGGCCACUCGAUGCGUUUCACCUCUUUUCCACCUCAGUUUACAAACGAACAUUUCAAACAACUGUUAACUGCAUUAACUCCUCGUUAACGUUAAUCUAGCUAGCUAAUUGGUACACGGUAACGGUAGCUAUUGAACAAAAAGUACAGCUAGGCUAAUUAAAUUGAUACUUUCCCAGUUUCUACGGUGAGUAUACGGUGUGGCAGAAGCAGUGAACGCAGUGACGUAGGCACUUUCAUGACCUAUUUAUAAGCAGGCCAGUGAAGAUCUGUGUGAUUCUUUUUUUUUUUUUAGCCAGGCUGUUAUAUGAACAACGGUCCGUGUACCAGGCAAGGUGUAGGAGUGAAUUGGACAUGGGGGCCAUUUUCCAAAAGCUGCUUAAAUGCUCAUUUCUCGAGACUUAAGGAGAGGGUAGCCUACUGAUCUACGUGUGGACUGACGAUUGAAGUAUAUUAAUUUAAAGAUGUGGGGGGCCUAUAGAAGCUCACAGCCUAGCAGUUUUCAAAAUGAAACUCCUGUGGGGGAAGUGAUCUUAUUAUUGAUAGGGGUGGGGGUGGUGGGGGGUUCCUGCUUUGGACAUGUCCCGCCUGCCCCCCACUCCUCCCACCUAGGCCCUUACACCCCUGGUGCCAGUGUUUUAACGCUGCUUGUGUUCAGACCCCCACAACAGAGGUGAAGACUUUUGAAACUGUGCAUUGCCUUUGUCUUUCCUUUUUAAAUUGACUGACCUGCCCUUAGUGCAUAAUCAAAGCUGUCCAAAUCUGACUUACAGCCUCUCCCCUCUCAACCCCCCCCCCCCCCUCAAAAGCUAUGGCAAUUUCCACAAUUCCAUCCAAAACACCCCAGUUUUGUGUGGUUACAUUUUUUUUUUUUUUUAAUCAAUCACAAAUUUAGGGCAUGUAUAUGAUAUAAAUAUAUAAAUAUCAUUUUUUUGUAUACAUUUUUGUAGUUGGACAAAAAACAAAUCCAGUGGUUCUGUGGUAGGAUGAAGUACAGGUUAUGUAAAGGAAUGCUUGUUUUUUGUGGAUUGUCACUGUCAGGUUGCAUUUCUUUUGAUAUAUUUGUAAAUUUAACUGCUCUCAAGCACCGUGAUUUCACCCCUUCUAGCCAAGCAUCUUGGAAUGUCAAUAAGAGUGUCUUGAAUUAUUUUGUCUGUCUUCUGUUGCAUUUUAAAGUUAUUUUCUGUAAUUUAUUUUCAGUACAAGAUUAAAACGAACUACUAUAUAUUAAGUGAUAUAAUUGAUUUAAAAACUGCAAUGCACAACCCUUAAAACGAUGCUUCUUACAGGAACUUUUUAAAGGGCAUCUUGAAGUUAUUGAAACAUUGAAUCCAUAAAAAUAAAAAGACAGUUAUACUUGUAUUAUGAAGAAAUUAGUAGCGUCAUUCCAUUGUCUGUUUUACCCAUUACCUGUGUGUGUGUAUAUAGAAAAAUGGUUUCAGAGAUAUUGGUUCAAAAUAUUAAUGCCAGUUUUAUAGCAGCAGCAAAGACCGUUGAACAUGUACAGUACUGUUAUAUUCUCAGAAGCCAUCAGACUUAUGACAGUUUAAGCUCCGUAUUCAGUGAAUACAUUUAUCACAGAUGGCCAUGAGAAACUAGACAUCACAUGAAAGACCUACAGUGGAAAUUGAUGGAAUCAAUCGAGCUACUUAAGAUAUUAAUAUGGGGGGGGGGGGGGUUUGAAGUCUUUUUCCUGCUCAGAUGUAUGGGUUGUCUUUGGUCUUUUUUUUUGUUGGGAGGGGAAAGGGGGGAGGGGGGGAGAGUAAAUGCUGGACAUUGACAUGGCCGUCAUCUUACCUUUAUGAUGUAUUUCUCAUUUGUCUUUUUUUAUCUAUACAGCUGAUCUCCGUAAGUAACUACAGUCCAGUGCCACAUUUGGCUGUGUUUUUGCGGCUUGGCUGACUGAAGACCGUAGUCGAUACUGUUUGGUAGUGAAUGACGUUAAAUUUGACCAUAAUGGCAAACACAAAUUGUGCGGUAUUGUCCUCGUUUUAUUUUUAAUUAUAUGAAUGUUGUCAAUAUUAAUACUGUAUCCUCUGCCUUGUUUUAAAAAGAAUAAAGUUGAAAUUAAAUAAG